GAGUACGACGGAGCACGUGAAAUUCCGUCGGAAUCUGGGAGGACCAUCUCCUAAGGCUAAAUACUCUCUAGUGACCGAUAGUGAACCAGUACCGUGAGGGAAAGGUGAAAAGCACCCCGGAAGGGGAGUGAAAUAGAACCUGAAACCGUGUGCUUACAAGUAGUCAGAGCCCGUUAAUGGGUGAUGGCGUGCCUUUUGUAGAAUGAACCGGCGAGUUACGAUUUGAUGCAAGGUUAAGCAGUAAAUGUGGAGCCGUAGCGAAAGCGAGUCUGAAUAGGGCGUUUAGUAUUUGGUCGUAGACCCGAAACCAGGUGAUCUACCCUUGGUCAGGUUGAAGUUCAGGUAACACUGAAUGGAGGACCGAACCGACUUACGUUGAAAAGUGAGCGGAUGAACUGAGGGUAGCGGAGAAAUUCCAAUCGAACCUGGAGAUAGCUGGUUCUCUCCGAAAUAGCUUUAGGGCUAGCCUCAAGUGAUGAUUAUUGGAGGUAGAGCACUGUUUGGACGAGGGGCCCCUCUCGGGUUACCGAAUUCAGACAAACUCCGAAUGCCAAUUAAUUUAACUUGGGAGUCAGAACAUGGGUGAUAAGGUCCGUGUUCGAAAGGGAAACAGCCCAGACCACCAGCUAAGGUCCCAAAAUAUAUGUUAAGUGGAAAAGGAUGUGGCGUUGCCCAGACAACUAGGAUGUUGGCUUAGAAGCAGCCAUCAUUUAAAGAGUGCGUAAUAGCUCACUAGUCGAGUGACACUGCGCCGAAAAUGUACCGGGGCUAAACAUAUUACCGAAGCUGUGGAUUGUCCUUUGGACAAUGGUAGGAGAGCGUUCUAAGGGCGUUGAAGCAUGAUCGUAAGGACAUGUGGAGCGCUUAGAAGUGAGAAUGCCGGUGUGAGUAGCGAAAGACGGGUGAGAAUCCCGUCCACCGAUUGACUAAGGUUUCCAGAGGAAGGCUCGUCCGCUCUGGGUUAGUCGGGUCCUAAGCUGAGGCCGACAGGCGUAGGCGAUGGAUAACAGGUUGAUAUUCCUGUACCACCUAUAAUCGUUUUAAUCGAUGGGGGGACGCAGUAGGAUAGGCGAAGCGUGCGAUUGGAUUGCACGUCUAAGCAGUAAGGCUGAGUAUUAGGCAAAUCCGGUACUCGUUAAGGCUGAGC
rnacentral:rRNA from 1 species